GGCUUCGUAGCUCAGGUGGUAGAGCACCUGCCGCGUUGAGGCUUGAUGUUUCUGUCGCUGGUUCUAAUCCAGCUGAGGCCC